rnacentral:lncRNA from 1 species
AUAAGCUAAAUUUAUUCAUACUUGUUUCAGGUGCAGUUAUUUAUAUUAUGUUAAAAUGUAUUUAUUUUACAACACACAUCCUAACUCGAGUGAACCUUUAAUGCCAGAAACGGGGAUUAAUAACGGAGAGGAGAAUGGCUACCAGGAUGUGCUUUUUGGGAUACAUAUCAAUAAAAAUUUAACUUUUACCUACAUACAAAAUAGUGAAUUGUAUGAAAGUCUAGGAUUCCUGUAUUAUAAUAUACUUCACAAUUGGACCAAUUAAAAGUUUUCUUAUUUCAUAGAUAUUAAUGAUAAAUUCUGAAUACAAAGUGAAAAUUUUUUUUAUGUGUAAUUGCUGCUAUCUUGAAAUACUUCCAUAAUAUAUUGACUUAAUAUAUUAAGUUAAUAUAUUAUGGAAAUAUUUCAGUAU